CCUACGGGAGGCAGCAGUGAGGAAUAUUGGUCAAUGGGCGGGAGCCUGAACCAGCCAUGCCGCGUGAAGGCGAGUGCCCUACGGGCGUUAAACUUCUUUUGUGCGGGAGCAAUAAGGGCCACGUGUGGCCCGAUGAGAGUACCGCACGAAUAAGCAUCGGCUAACUCCGUGCCAGCAGCCGCGGUAAUACGGGGGAUGCGAGCGUUAUCCGGAUUGAUUGGGGGUAAAGAGCGCGUAGGCGGCGCUUCAGGUCAGCGGUGAAAUACCGGGGCUCAACCCUGGAGCUGCAGUUGAAAACGGGGCUCUAGAGUACGGGUGCGGUAGGAGGAAUGUGUGGUGUAGCGGUGAAAUGCAUAGAGAUCACAGAGAAUACUGAUUGCGAAGGCAACUUACGA
rnacentral:rRNA from 1 species